rnacentral:rRNA from 1 species
GAUGAACGCUAGCUACAGGCUUAACACAUGCAAGUCGAGGGGCAGCACGGAGAUAGCUUGCUAUCUUGGGUGGCGACCGGCGCACGGGUGAGUAACGCGUAUCCAACCUGCCCAUUACUCUGGGAUAGCCUUGCGAAAGUAAGAUUAAUACCGGAUGUUGUUAAAAACCCGCAUGAGUUUUUAACCAAAGAUUUAUUGGUAAUGGAUGGGGAUGCGUGACAUUAGGUAGUUGGUGAGGUAACGGCUCACCAAGCCGACGAUGUCUAGGGGUUCUGAGAGGAAGGUCCCCCACACUGGAACUGAGACACGGUCCAGGCUCCUACGGGAGGCAGCAGUGGGGAAUCUUGGACAAUGGGCGCAAGCCUGAUCCAGCAAUGCCGCGUGCGUGAAGAAGGCCUUCGGGUUGUAAAGCGCUUUUGUCAGGGAGCAAAUCCUUGUGGCUAAUACCCACCGGGGAUGAGAGUACCUGAAGAAUAAGGACCGGCUAACUACGUGCCAGCAGCCGCAGUAAGAC